rnacentral:tRNA from 4 species
GUGAGCGUAGCUCAGUUGGUAGAGUCCAGGAUUGUGAUUCCUGUUGUCGCGGGUUCGAGCCCCGUCGUUCACCCCA